AAUUUUUUAUAUCAAAAUCUCUACAGCAAAAAUUCUAUAGUUACAGCCCAACCAAUCACCCACCUUAGUUAAUAUGUUUUU
rnacentral:sRNA from 1 species